rnacentral:tRNA from 1 species
UGUAGCUCAAUGGCAGAGUCCUUGUCUAACAUUCAUGAGGUCCUGGGUUCAAUUCCCAGCA